CACAUAAUGUAACAUUCAACCCAAUCAAAAUAAAACAACAACUAAGAAAAAGGAAGAAAGAAAAGAGCAAGAAAACAGAGUCCCCUUUUCUGCUUGAGCAACGAAACAGGGAAUUGAGAGGGAGAAUGACCCAAACCUAAAAUCAAUCCAUUUCUUUGAUUAAAUCAGUCUUCACUACCUAUUCUUGUCUUCCCAAUUAGAAAUCCCUUCAUUAAGAAAGCCUAAUCACCAUUUCUCUCAAUUGAGACCCACUUGAUUGAAGGAAGGAAAAGAGGGACAGCAGCUGCCCUCUCCAAUUUUGAGGUUUUGAUCCUUAUUUUCAGCCAUACUCUUCAUGAUUCUUUUGUUGAUUCCACCAUUAGCAGCCUCUCUUUCAACGUUGUCCUCUCUUCCACUUCACCAACUAUAGAGUCUAGUGGAGGUCGAGCCAAUAUGCUUCUUUUGAAUAUUUAUUUUGUUUUUAGUUUAUUAUAUAUAUGUAAAGACAACUAGAAGCUCUAUUCUACAAAUAUUUUAUUUUGAUCAUCACAGAGAGAGUAUAAAGAGGGUAUAUGAAUAUUAGUGUAUGUAAAAAUGCUAAUGGGCAGAGAUGCCAUAUUUUAUACAUGAAAUGUAUUUUCACA